AUUGAACGCUGGCGGCAGGCUUAACACAUGCAAGUCGAGCGAGCGGCGGACGGGUGAGAAAUGUCUGGGAAACUGACUGAUGGAGGGGGAUAACUACUGGAAACGGUAGCUCAUACCGCAUACCAUAAGAUGUGACCAGAUGGGAUUAGCUAGUAGGGGGGGUAAUGGCGCACCUAGGCGACGAUCCCUAGCUGUGCUGAGAGGAUGACCGGCCAAACUGGAACUGAGACACGGUCCAGACUCCUACGGGAGGCAGAAGUGGGGAAUAUUGCACAAGGGGCGCAAGCCUGAUGCAGCCAUGCCGCGUGUGUGAAGAAGGCCUUCGGGUUGUAAAGCACUUUCAGCGAGGAGGCGUUACUCGCAGAAGAAGCACCGGCUAACUCCGUGCCAGCAGCCGCGGUAAUUC
rnacentral:rRNA from 1 species